GCGUACUACUGUUUUUAGUGAGUGAGGGUCCAGUGUUUCACAUUCGUUUUUUCAAGUAUUUGUGACUAGAUCCACACUCAUUAACAACGGUAGUUC
rnacentral:pre_miRNA from 11 species